rnacentral:rRNA from 1 species
UACGAAGGGGGCUAGCGUUGCUCGGAAUCACUGGGCGUAAAGCGCACGUAGGCGGAUUGCUAAGUCAGGGGUGAAAUCCUGGAGCUCAACUCCAGAACUGCCUUUGAUACUGGCGAUCUUGAGUCCGGGAGAGGUGAGUGGAACUGCGAGUGUAGAGGUGAAAUUCGUAGAUAUUCGCAAGAACACCAGUGGCGAAGGCGGCUCACUGGCCCGGUACUGGCGGUGAGGUGCCAAAGCGUGGGGAGCAAACAGG